AGGAUGAACGCUGGCGGCGUGCCUAAUACAUGCAAGUCGUGCGGUAACAUGCCCUUCGGGGUGAUGACGAGCGGCGGACGGCUGAGUAACGCGUGGGAACGUGCCCCAAAGUGAGGAAUAAGCUCCAGAAAUGGAGUCUAAUGCCGCAUAUGGUCUUCGGAUUAAAGCUUUCGAGCGCUUUGGGAGCGGCCCGCGUACGAUUAGAUAGUUGGUGAGGUAAAGGCUCACCAAGUCUACGAUCGUUAACUGGUCUGAGAGGAUGAUCAGUCAGACUGGAACUGAGACACGGUCCAGACUCCUACGGGAGGCAGCAGUAAGGAAUCUUCCACAAU
rnacentral:rRNA from 1 species